CCGACCGUGAGGCGGGCGCCGAAAGAAGUGGGGAGCGGAGCCGCGGGCCGACGCACAGGAACCGGAUAGGAGGCGACGUCUCCCAGGGCGAGCGGGCCAAUGACCGCGAAGCUCUUGCGACCAAGGGGGGGCGGCGUAGAUCCGGCGGUCGCGCGGCGAAGGCCGAGAGU
rfam:Acidobacteria bacterium 13_1_40CM_4_69_4 13_1_40cm_4_scaffold_7092, whole genome shotgun sequence.